rnacentral:rRNA from 1 species
AACGAACGCUGGCGGCGUGCUUAACACAUGCAAGUCGAACGUGAAAGGCUUCGGCCGAGUAAAGUGGCGCACGGGUGAGUAACGCGUGGGUAAUCUGCCCUUGGGCGGGGGAUAACCUCUCGAAAGGGGGGCUAAUACCGCAUGAGACCACGGCUUCUCGGGGCUGUGGGAAAAGGUGGGUCGCAAGGCCUGCCACCUGAGGAUGAGCCCGCGUACCAUUAGGUUGUUGGUGGGGUAAUGGCCUACCAAGCCGAAGAUGGUUAGCUGGUCUGAGAGGAUGAUCCGCCACACUGGGACUGAGACACGGCCCAGACUCCUACGGGAGGCAGCAGUGGGGAAUUUUGGACAAUGGGCGCAAGCCUGAUCCAGCCAUGCCGCGUGAGUGAAGAAGGCCUCGGUUGUAAG